AUUAAACAUGCAAGAACUUAAGUUGAAAUAAUAACAGACAAAGGAAGGGGAAAGAAACAGAUAGUUGAAGGUUAAUAAUUGAAAUUAGGAGCCUACCAAUUGAAGAACAGAGCUAGUAUAGAUUCUAUUAUUAGCCUAGGCUUUCAGCAGGCUAAAUCUUAGCAAAGAGAGUAAGUAACAGAGAAGAUAAGAGAAGAGCAGAG
rnacentral:lncRNA from 1 species